AGUUCACCUAGUUUAGGCAUAUUUACAUGAAAACUAGUGCAUUGAGCUGAAAAAAGUUGAAUUUUGACCAAUUUUGGAGGGCUUCGCCCCCCCAACUACGUCACAAGUUGGCGCCUAUGGUUGGAAAUGAAAGCUGCUGGCCCUCGUUGUCAGAAUUGGGCAUAGGGGCGAAAGACCAAUCGAACCAUCUAGUAGCUGGCUCCCUCCGAAGUUUCCCUCAGGAUAGCUGGAGCACGCAACGUUUCGAAUCCUAUUCUUAUCUGGUAAAGCGAAUGAUUAGAGGCCUUAGGUUCGAAAUGAUCUUAACCUAUUCUCAAACUAUAAAUGGGUACGUACCAUAGCAUUCUUGCAUGAUGCUGUUGCAAACGUUGGUAAACGCCGGGCCGUUCCCUAUCAGGGCGUGCCACGGCGUAGAAGAUAUCUGUGUGCUUAGUGGGCCAAGUUUUGGUAAGCAGAACUGGUGCUGUGGGAUGAACCAAACGUAACACUGCGCAACAUUUUUUUGUCUCAAGAGCAAACUUAUGUGUCUCCGAAGGAUUUUGAGCCGCUGAAUCCGAAUCCGGGCUCGGAUUUGCUCCAACACGUCACAAUUUUGAGCUAUACCUCAAUUUAUAGGGCAAAAUAUGCGAUUUUGGGCUUUUUUGACUGCAAGCCAUUAAGCAUUUUCUGUCAGUAUGUAAGCUUGCAUGCAACUUUUGGAGGGUGACUUGUAUGGGAAAUAUCGUACCUAACAUAAAUCGCCUAAAACUAUCAAAUUCGAUUUGAUAAAACGAAAUAUUUUGCAUGAGUCGUUAAUUCAGAUGUUAAUUGACCAAUUAACCUUUUGAUUGCUUAAAGAAAAUAUUUCCAUGCUAAAUAACUUGCAGUCAAAAAAGUCCAAAAUCGCAUAUUUUGCCCUAUAAAUUGAGGUAUAGCUUGAAAUUUUGACGUGUUGGAGCAAAUCUGAGCCCGGAUUCGGAUUCAGCGGCCCAAAAUCUGUCAGAGACACAUAAGUUUGCUCUUGAGACAGACUAAAAGCUAAUUUUUGUUACGCUGUGUAAUGUUAUGGCGCCUAAAUAAACGACGCAUCAUAGAUACCAUGAAAGGUGUUGAUUGCUACAGACAGCAGGACGGUGGACAUGGAAGUUGUCAUCCGCUAGGAGUGUGUAACAACUCACCUGCCGAAGCAAUUAGCUCUUAAAAUGGAUGGCGCUUAAGUCGUUUGCCUAUACAUUACUGCUGGCGCACAAGUGGGGCAGCGCCCCUGUAGCGCGUCUGCCCUUUGAGGCGCCAGCGAGUAGGAGGGUCUGCCCGAAUAAACCAGUAUUAUAUGACUAUUAUACAGGACAUCAUUUUCAGAUGAUUCA
rfam:Aedes albopictus isolate Foshan contig51696, whole genome shotgun sequence.